CCUACGGGUGGCAGCAGUGAGGAAUAUUGGUCAAUGGGCGAGAGCCUGAACCAGCCAAGUCGCGUGAGGGAGUACUGCCCUAUGGGUUGUAAACCUCUUUUGUCGGGGAGCAAAAGCCGGACGUGUCCGGCUGUGAGAGUACCCGAAGAAAAAGCAUCGGCUAACACCGUGCCAGCAGCCGCGGUAAAACGGAGGAUGCGAGCGUUAUCAGGAUAUAUUGGGUUUAAAGGGUGCGCAGGCGGAUUUUUAAGUCAGCGGUAAAAUCGUGGGGCUCAACCCCAUCCAGCCGUUGAAACUGGGGAUCUAGAGUGUGCGAGAGGUAUGCGGAAUGCGUGGUGUAGCGGUGAAAUGCAUAGAUAUCACGCAGAACCCCGAUUGCGAAGGCAGCAUACCGGUGCACAACUGACGCUCAGGCACGAAAGCGUGGGUAUCGAACAGGAUUAGAUACCCCAGUAGUC
rnacentral:rRNA from 1 species